UACGAAGGGUGCAAGCGUUACUCGGAAUUACUGGGCGUAAAGCGUGCGUAGGUGGUGAGUUAAGUCUGUCGUGAAAGCCCGGCUCAACCUGGAUGGCGAUGGAUACUGGCUCGCUAGAGUGCGGUAGAGGAGAGUGGAAUUCCCGGUGUAGCAGUGAAAUGCGUAGAGAUCGGAGGAACAUCAGUUGCGAAGGCGGCUCUCUGACCAGCACUGACACUGAGGCACGAAGCGUGGGAGCAACAGG
rnacentral:rRNA from 1 species